rnacentral:rRNA from 1 species
GCAUAUCAAUAAGCGGAGGAAAAGAAACCAACAGGGAUUGCCCUAGUAACGGCGAGUGAAAGCGGCAACAGCUCAAAUUUGAAAUCUGGCUCUUUCAGAGUCCGAGUUGUAAUUUGCAGAGGGCGCUUUGGCUUUGGCAGCGGUCCAAGUUCCUUGGAACAGGACGUCACAGAGGGUGAGAAUCCCGUACGUGGUCGCUAGCUAUUGCCGUGUAAAGCCCCUUCGACGAGUCGAGUUGUUUGGGAAUGCAGCUCUAAAUGGGAGGUAAAUUUCUUCUAAAGCUAAAUAUUGGCCAGAGACCGAUAGCGCACAAGUAGAGUGAUCGAAAGAUGAAAAGCACUUUGGAAAGAGAGUCAAACAGCACGUGAAAUUGUUGAAAGGGAAGCGCUUGCAGCCAGACUUGCUUGCAGUUGCUCAUCCGGGCUUUUGCCCGGUGCACUCUUCUGUAGGCAGGCCAGCAUCAGUUUGGGCGGUGGGAUAAAGGUCUCUGUCACGUACCUCUCUUCGGGGAGGCCUUAUAGGGGAGACGACAUACCACCAGCCUAGACUGAGGUCCGCGCAUCUGCUAGGAUGCUGGCGUAAUGGCUGUAAGCGGCCCGUCUUGAAACACGGACCAAGGAGUCUAACAUCUAUGCGAGUGUUUGGGUGUCAAGCCCGAGCGCGUAAUGAAAGUGAACGGAGGUGGGAACCCGCAAGGGUGCACCAUCGACCGAUCCUGAAGUUUACGGAAGGAUUUGAGUAAGAGCAUGGCUGUUGGGACCCGAAAGAUGGUGAACUAUGCUUGAAUAGGGUGAAGCCCAGAGGAAAACUCUUGGUGGAGGCUCGCAGCGGUUCUGACGUGCAAAUCGAUCGUCAAAUUUGGGCAUAGGGGCGAAAGACUAAUCG